rnacentral:rRNA from 1 species
GACGAACGCUGGCGGCAUGCCUAACACAUGCAAGUCGAACGAGACCUUCGGGUCUAUUUGCGCACGUGUGCGUAACGCGUGGGAACCUGCCCUUAGGUUCGGAAUAACUCCCCGAAAGGUGUGCUAAUACCGGAUAAUGUCUUCGGACCAAAGAUUUAUCGCCUUUGGAUGGGCCCGCGUUGGAUUAGCUAGUUGGUAGGGUAAAAGCCUACCAAGGCGACGAUCCAUAGCUGGUCUGAGAGGAUGAUCUGUCACACUGGGACUGAGACACGGACCAGACUCCUACGGGAGGGAGCAGUGGGGAAUAUUGGACAAUGGGCGAAAGCCUGAUACAGCAAUGCCGCGUGAGUGAUGAAGGCCUUAGGGUUGUAAAGCUCUUUUACCCGGGAUGAUAAUGACAGUAACGGGAGAAUAAGCACCGGCUAACUACGUG